GCGCGUACGCUGUUACCGUCGCUACUAAACGAACAGACUCGUAGUCACAAACAGCAGGAGAGAAUGUUUCUGCGUUAAAGAGCCAGUGGCGUCGUUCACACCCACGUCCGGCUCGAUCGGUUGUAUGGGACAACUUUCAACGUGAUAGUCUAUUCGCUGUAGAAUUUUACACUGUGUGUGCCCCCCUCUUGAUCGGACAUCUCUGGUAUUUUAAGCAAAUUCGAACAUUCUUUAAAUAAACGAGAGACAAAUCGUCAUUUAGCGAGAAAAACGAUCGCCAGUAUCUCGACUCCACUCCGACACGACACUGCUGUGUAUUGUAAGCAAGAAACGCACGAAAAAUUUACAUAAUAUUCUAACUGUAAGAGUUAGUUUUUGUUUGUUUCAUUAACACAGUGGCGAAAAUAAAUUAAAAGAAAGUGCGAAAGUGUCUCAAAUUUUAAGACAAAUAUUGAAAAAAAAUCUUCUAACUCAGAGCAGGUAACACCCUAAUGGUCAAUGAGAAGUGAUAAUACAUACACGUAGCGCAAUUUAAAGUUUGUGAUUAUGAAGAAAAUUUGUAACCAAAGCUAUGAGUCGAUUUUUAAGGAAGUAUGGCAUGUGGGUAGUUGCACUGCCUGCCGUGUGUUUGUAAGUUAAAUUUCGCGUGAAUGCGAUCGUGCUUUGGCUAAACCCCCAACAAUCUCUAGCUCUCAGUAGCGACAUCGCAAAUUUAUCUGAAUUGCUCCAAGUUCACAAUCACUCAUGCAAAAAAGCGGAAACAUGGUAAAAGCCGGCCGUGGUAAUAAAAGUCAUGUUUUUGAGUUUUCCGCUCAGCGGAAGCAGUGUUAUGCCAGAAAUUUUCGCCAGUAUCUUUGGUGUGUAAAAAAAAGUAGUUAAGCUCGUGGUGUGCGUUAGCUCUAAUAUUAAAUUUGUGUUUACACGCGGCACUAGCAGUGCGGAGCCAAGAACGGUGGUAUUCCUGAUUUAAACAUCUGUGCGACGUGAGGCGAAUUUCAUAUUAUUGUGAUCGAUUCUGAUCGCGAAGAAAACCUGCGAGGAAGGUGAUUGAAAAAGAAUAGUAGCUACACUGCAUGACUCACCGGCACGAGUAAUUCACAGAGGAGCAGAGCCGUAUACUAGAUUGCACUUGGCAAAGUAUUAUUCUGAGCCAACGCAAUCGAGCGAAGCGAGAAUUAUGUGAAGUGAGAUCAAAUUGCAUACUGAUGUGAUGAUUACCGGGGCGUCAUUCCAAUUUUUGAAACCACAAAGAAUGGAACAAUUAGUUUUUCGUACUGACAUUGCAACAAAGAGGACUGUUUCCAUCGAUGGCGUUUUUGUCUAUACGUGAUUUUUACCCAACAAGGAAAAGCUAUAAUUUCAGGAAAAGUGGAAAAAGUUACGUCAAUUCAUUUCGAAAUUGAAUCAUCACCGCCUUAGUUUUAGUGACUCAAUAUGACUUGAAAGAUCAAUAACGGUGGCCAAGUCCUUGAAAUCAGACAGUAUGAGGAAAGAGAUUGUUAGCGUGACUAUUGCUGUUUGUAGACCGUGUUAACCUUUACAUCUGCACAAAGAUCACAGG